AUUGAACGCUGGCGGCAUGCUUUACACAUGCAAGUCGAGCGGCAGCGCGGGGCUCAGGCAACUGAGCCCUGGCGGCGAGCGGCGAACGGGUGAGUAAUACAUCGGAACGUACCCAGGAGUGGGGGAUAGCCCGGCGAAAGCCGGAUUAAUACCGCAUACGAUCUUAGGAUGAAAGUGGGGGACCGCAAGGCCUCACGCUUUUGGAGCGGCCGAUGUCCGAUUAGCUAGUUGGUGGGGUAAAGGCCUACCAAGGCGACGAUCGGUAGCUGGUCUGAGAGGAUGAUCAGCCACACUGGGACUGAGACACGGCCC
rnacentral:rRNA from 1 species